UUACUUAUCUGGACGGGGUAAUUAUGCGACCAGUAAGGCCCAUUGCCUGGACAGGUGACCUUCAUUGAACUCGAAGGAGGGGUGCCCGUCCAAGGUCUGCCCAAAGUGUUAGAGCCUACGUCAUAAUAUUUCUGGCAGUUGCGGCCUUCCAAUGGCGUAAG